CAUUGAAAUGAAAUGUUAAUUCAGGCUCUAAAUAUGUAAUUUUCUUGUUCAUAUUUGAUAGUAAUUAAAAAGAAGAUAGCUGCUGAUAGUUGGAUUCUUUGGGUAAUGAAUCUGCUACUUAAUUGAGUAAUGAGAUCUUGGACCUUUUGGUGAAGCUUCAUUUUUAAUACAGACAGGAGCCUAAAAUCAAAUCUGUGAAAUAAUUGGAUAACUCAAGUUAUAAUUAAAAUCAAGGCUCUUUGAAUCUGGCUUGGUUGUUCCUGUUCCUGACAUUUAUGAAUAAAUAAAAACUACGGAACUCAACAACUAUUUUUAGCCUCUGUGGACAGCUCCAUAGGGAGAAUGAACUAUUCGUCAACGUCAACCAUAUUUUACUGAAGAUUUUGAAGGUAUUCCAAUGUGACUGACUACUACGUUUCCUCACAUGUGUGCUGCUGUAUCUGAGAUCACCAUGUUUUCAAUGAUCUCAUAUGAACCUGUUUCUGUUCAGAAAAAAUCCUUCCCUGGUGAUCCUAUUGUGGUAGACAUAAAACUGUGCCACCCAGAUCCCAUUCCAGGGAAGAAUAUGCUGCUGAGCUGUUGGAAGUACAAUCAGUGGAAAACCUUGGUCUGUCAGCAACUUCAAGGUUUGCCUCCUUUGCAGAAAUGGUCCAUUCAAAGUCAUGCCCUUCCUAUAGCAGUCUACAUUCAACCACUGAGUGAGGCAGAAAUAAAAAAGUGCUGAUAAUUUUCAACCUACAAGGGCAUUAAUGAGCAAUACCUGCUCCAUAGCUCCACAGUGGGUUCUCAGAAGAUGUGUCUUGCCUGCAGCACAGCUUGACUCCUUCCACUAUUCAUUUUUUCUUCUUUUCCUUUUACUUCAGAGGCAUUAAAAAUGAAUAAAAAUCUUGAACUCCA
rnacentral:lncRNA from 1 species